CCCGAAGAAUCAAGUGGGCCUUAUCCUCUUUUCCACCAAUGAGUGUGGUACCCCAGGUCACAGGAAACCCAAGUAUGGGGUAGUAAGUGAAGUCCAGAUGCCUCUUGAGAGAAGUGGGUCAGGUGGUCUAGAGGAGAGCUGAGAAUCUUUUUCUAAACCCGAGAAGCUGGAUCUGCAAGUACUGGAUUCAGGACAGGAGAGAAACCCAGGAGUAGACUAGAAAAGGAGAGGCAAAUACAAGUGCAAACUGAUGCCCUGAGCUUUCAGACACGACUUGGUUAGGUGCCCAGAGCUAUUUUCAUUGUAGGCUUGAUGGCACCGGUAGCUUAGGGGUUUGCCGCCGUUUUUCAUGUGUACCAGAUACAGAAGCAGAUACCCUAAACCUCACACGAAGAGUUCCUUAUAUGGGCUUUAUCUCCAUUUUACAAAUGAAGGCUCUGCAUCUUGGAGGGGCCAAAAUAAUAGUCCAAAGUCACCAAGUGAGCAAAGCUGGGCUUGAGAGAGAGAUCUAAGCACAAUUUAAGGUCACACGGAGGGAAAGGGCACAGUGGACCUGUUCAGAGAGUCACUUAGACAGGGUAUUGCAAACCUUUGGCCUAGCAGCCAAAGACAGUGCCCAGCAGGGUUGGGUUUAGCUACUCAAUGAUCUAAGACAGUGAUACCUUUAGGCAGGGGCCACACAUUAUACCAUUUAUCAUGAUGUUCCUGCUUAUUCUUUCAAUUAUUUCCUGCAAAGCACUAGCAUUGGAGUGGCAAUGGGGACUUCAUCCUAGAAAAACCUUUCUUUAGCACCAGAAGCCAGCUGAGGACACUUUCUCGACACGCCACCCCCUUCCCCGCCGCCCAGUUCAUCACUGGUCCCUUACUAUGACGACAGGGCCAAAAAUUUCAAAGAAAUGGGGGCCGGAGAACUCGUGUAGUAUAGUGGACUUCCAAAAAGUCUAAAACAUACAAACCUUUCUCCUGUGGAGAGGCAUAGCACGUGGGGGCAAGGGCCUUGUUCAUGAAUUAGCGGCCACACGCCCAGUGCGAUCUCAGUAAGAAAAAACGUAACUGGCCCCCUCUUCCUGGGGAGUUGAUUAAGAGCAGGCAGUGAUUGGUGCUUCCCAGAUGGGGACACAGCACAAAGCAGCUGGAGUACACAUUGAAGUGCCAGGCAGCUGCACAACAGGACAGAAGUUGUGCAGGACUAGGGUGUGGUGGUGCUUGCCUGUAAUCCCAGCACUUGGAAGGUAGAGGUAGGAGGACUGAGAGGGAGUUCGAGGCCAGCCUGAGAUAAAUGAGACCCUACAUCAAAAACCUGGAGAAAAAGAAAGUACGGUGUGAACAUUGAUCCUGAUGUCAGAGAAUCCCUUUUAGUGGGGGUUCCCCCACCCCUGUGUUUUAAUCUUCUUGGGAGCUGUGCGGUAACCAAGGACUUGACCUUUGCCUUCAGUCUACACCCUUCUCUCUGCUUUCUCGUUAACUAGCCACUGUCAGAAAUCCCAAGAAACUUGUGUAAAUUUUCCCGUAAAAAUGCUGGCUAGCCUCAGAAGUCUGUCUUGUCUUCAGUUAAAGGGACUUUGAGGUUACAAGUUGCCAUGAGCAAGGGAAGUCACUUUCCUGAACUCAAAAUAACCAUCUGUGGGUUAACUUGGUCUUUAAGAUGAAAGCCAUACAUUUUUGGCCAAUUUAAGUGGCCUGGGACAGUCCUAGCAAAAAGCCAAAAUCAGAGAUUUUUAUGUUUCUUAAGUGCCUUGAAAAAUUAACAUUUAGCAGAAAAGGUGACAGAGUAGAGGUAAGGUCAUUCAGAAGAAAGGUCACUCCCCCAAGAGCUUGAGCUGACAAUAAAGGGGGAAAGAAGGUGUCCAUUAGGGAUACCUAAAUCUCAACCCUCAAAAAAAAAAUCAUUUGUGCUGCCGAGAAGGGGCGGGACUCGUGGGCUUCUGACAGCUCUUCUUAUUCAAACAAUAACAGCCAAUGAAACACGAUUUGCCUGGGGUCAGGGCCUGACGGCCUCUGAGUAGCAAGUUCUGAGUUUACUGUUUUUCAAAGCCUCGGACCUGCUCUCCCUGGCCUGUUUUGAAUUUCCUCUUCCCUAAUGUGUAUUUAUGUCUCUCCUGUUAUGAGCUGACAAGAAUAGUCCUAGCGUAUCUGCUUCCGCGUAGGCCUGACUAGGUCAUGUACUUAACUUCUUCAAGCUUCCCUUUCCGUCCCGUCACACCAGAUGGCCUUACAAAGGUAAAGGGGGGGUGGCAAUGGAGAGGGGUGACAGUUUGGGACUUUAUUAUCCCGCCGAUGAAUCGACCACUCGGCUGACUGGCCAAACAAGUGAAAGCUAUUUAAUUCUGAGUACAUGGAAGAAGUCUGGCCAAGUUGAAUGACUUUUCAUUUACCCAUCCUGCUAAGAGGUUGCCACAAAUAGAGCUGCGUCCUGGGCAAUAAGAAGCAAACUGGGACAAGCUACUGUCCUUUCCCUUGAGGAACUCACAGUCUAGUAGGCCAUGCACACACACACAAACCCAUAGGCCAGGAAUUUACAGGAGAAGUUGGUGUCAACAGGAUUCACCAGGAUUCACAUCUCCUGGUGAAAAAUACCUCACAGGUUAAGUCAAAGGUAAUGAAGGUGAGCUUGCGGUGGACUUGAUGAGGACUGCCAUGAGGCUCUAUGAAAAGGCCCACUAAAGACAAAGUAGGGUUUUUACGGGACUGUGGUAUUUAUUUUACCCACAGAUCACCAGGGUGCCUGUCCAGGGGGUGGUUUUGUUUGAUCAUUCUGCUCACACUAGAAGAUGAGGCAAAGUGGUAAAUAAUACGCUAGGCGAUGGCUAUCUGCCAUAACAAAUUUGCCAAGCACGGGGUUCUUAUGCUCUGGGAUGAACUCUCCAGGGAAAUGGGGGCAAGGCUACAAAAGGAAUAAGUUUUCCACUAGGACCAUCUAGAGAGUCACUUGGGAUGCAGCCCUCAAGUGAAGGAGGCCAUGACAGGAAAUUAGAAGCCACCAUAAAUUCAGAAUUCUAAGAUGAUUUCCAGAUCUCUGUUCUUGGGUGUGAGGCAAGGCUGAGGAAUUGUGUGUAAGGCCUAUAGAAAAAGAUUGUGAGGUCAUGUAAAGGGAGAUUGUCCUGACCGAGCCUGGGCCAGUCAGGGAAACCCUUCAUAGGAGAGACAGGAGUGAGUCAAGACGAGCUGUCCUAACGUGCAAAAGGCCCCAUGUCAAGGGACAGGUGACCUCUGGAUGCGGAGGCCCUCAGCCCUGUGACUGCAAGGAACUGAAUCCUGCUAGCAACUGAAUGAACUUGGAAGAGGUUCCCAGUUCUCAGGUGUAAGCCAGCCUGGCUUGACAUCAUAGUUUCAGGUUUCUAGGUAUUUAGGCCAUGAUGCCCAGGCCAGCUUCAGGCACACAUAAAUCUUGAGGUGAUGACUGGCAAGAACUCCUGGAUGUUAAUAUUUGCUCUGUUGUAUUUCAGUUCAUAGCAAGAGAAAAAAAGAUGGACAUUGCAUCUAUUUCCAUAUGUAGCAUUGACCAUAAUGCACACUAUGCCCACUUCUGUAAGAAAGAAACCAGAACACUCUACUUGCUUCUAAUAUAAGGCAUUCUGCUUUUUAAAACGCAACAAAAAUAUUUUGUUGGCAUUGAAGAAACGGGCCUAAAUUUUUUUUUUGCAAGCCUUAUCAAGUAUGAUUGUCUGGUCCUCCCAGCCACUCUGUCUAAUUAAGGAGUUACAAAGGGGAGGUGUGGGGAUGAUGAAGGUAAACGUCUUACUCUAGGUCACAACCCAAGACAGUGUGGACUUGGUUUCUUUUUCUGGCUCUUUUGCAGCCUGCAUUUGAGGCCCUCUGGGUGGCUCUGGUUGGUUGUCCUUUCAUCACAUGUACAGUCAUGAACUGUGCAUUUCAGGUCUGCACUGGAUCUUAACCACAAGACUGAGAAACGAUAGUGCUGAGCACCGAGAGAGAUGAAUAUCCUAGCAUGAAAUAUCACUCAUGCAAAGUUAUGGGCACACUCACCAAAAUGUAUUAUGAUCAUUCUGCACAGCAUUAUUAUGUUCAUUUUACAGAUGAGGAAACAAAGCCCCAGGAACAACUUGUCCAAAGUCACCCAGCUAUUAAGUCACAGAGCAGGGACUCGAACUCAGAUCCUUGUGACUCUGAACCUGAGCCUCCUUAAUGUAUUGGUGGUUGGGUUUGAGGGGUCUCUGCAUUUUAGGCCUCACCAGUGAACAGCACACAACUACAGUCAACCUGACCCAGGUUGCCAAUAUGGCCCUAUAAUUUACGAAAGCUGGACCCUAAAUCUUCCGAUUCCUGUUGUUGAGCAACCAACAUGGGUGAACUGUGAACUUUGGCAGUGCUGGCCAGAUUCUUCCAUAUCUUUAGUUUUUCUACUGAUUACUUGCCACCUCUCGAUUCAGGCCAGAGGUUCUGCUCUGUUUUUGUACCAUUUCAGCUCUCCCCGCCCCUUUGGAAAUAGGCUCCGUGCCCACUAUCAUUUGCUCACCCACAGAGAAACGCUCACUUGGGGCUGAACACACCCCACUGGCUGCCUUGGGUGCAGCUUGCUGGUUCAGCUCUGGUCCUCGAGGCUCCAGCCUGGAACUCUCUUCUGCCUGGGCUUCCUCAACACACUGUGUGCAACACACUUUUGGUGGCCUUGCCCUUCUUGCCUGACAACCUCUGACUUGGAGGUUCCUUCAACUCUUGUUUGAAAAAGCGUUUCCUGGUGUUGAGAAGGCCCCCACCUCUAGCCCGCCCCCAGCCUCUGUUCUCACAGGGAGCUGGUUGCAUCUCCCAUCUUCUUCCCCCUCCUGGGAACCCAGUUCAGCUCUUCAAAGGUAGCACAGGGCACUGGCAAGGGAAAGGUUGUGGACUCUGAGUAUUUUUUUAGUGUUUGUUUUUUGACAUGGCAGGCAUAUUGGUGUAUGUCUGUCAUCUCGGGACUCUGGAGGCUGAGAGGCAAGGGGAUUGCAAGUUCAAGUCCAGCUUGGGCUAUAUGAAAAGACCCUGCCUCAAGAAAUAAAACCAAAACACCAUUAUGUAAGUAUAACACGCUCACAGAGAGUGCAUAAAUCAGAAAUGGUUGUCAGUCGUUAGCCACUACAGAGACAUAGACGUCUGAACACACGUCCAGCCGGUGAGUCCUUGUAAGUUCCCACACUCCUCCCCCAAAAGUAACCCCUUCCUAGAAUAAUCGGUUAAUUUCCAGCUGUUUCUGAGUUAUAUACAAAUGAAAAUACUUAGUAGAUAUGAUUUUAGAAUUUUAAAAACACUGUGACAAACACAUUUGACAUAAAAACUCACCAUUUCUCUAUUUUGAGCAUGUAACUGGAUGGUAUUAGUGUACUCACACCAAACCGGAAACUUCCAAACCUGUCAAUCAAUACCUCUCCGUUCCCUCUCCUUUUAGCCUCUGAUGAGUGCCCUUUGACUUUCUAUGAUUUGGGGAUAUUUUAACUCCACUGUAUAUGCAGAAUCAUACGUUUGUCUUUUGGUGGCUGCCUUAUUUCAUUCAAGGUUGUAGCAUAUAUAAGAAUUUCCUUUUCAAGGCUAACUAAUAUUCCUCUGUGUGGCUAUCACACAUUUCAUUUAUACAUCUGUUAGUGCAUACUUGGGAUGCCUCGUGCCUUAACUGUUGUGAAUAAUACAGCAAUGUAGAUGUAUAAAUAGCUCUUUGAUACUCUGCUUUCAAUUCUUCUUGCUAAAUACCCCCAAAAUAGAAUUGCUGCAUCAUAUAGCAAUUCUGUAAAUUUUAAAAAACCAAACCCUCACAUAUAUGUGACGGGGGGGGGGGGGGGAAGGCUUGAAAUUGGCACAGAACACACACAACUGAAUUCUCGGUACAAAGGAGAUGAAUUCCCCGGGAGGGACAAUGGAGGUGGGGGUUGGGAGCUGCCUUUGUAUCAGGCAAAAACAGCAGCCAGUGUGACUGUGGAAGUGGUUUUUCAGGAGAAAAAAGGGAAGUCUGUGUUAGAAUGAGUUGGUAAGUCCUGAUUGAAUGUGUUGGCCAGUGUACCCAAAUAGUGAAUUUUUGAUAGCUGGACCUUGGAGUUUUAGUCAGGCAUAAGGAAAUGGCCAAACAAGGGACUAGACCUUGGUGGCUAGCUUUAGGAGUGAAAUCUAAAUGGGAGAGGGAAGGGGAAGGGCAAGGCCUGCUGGUGCCACAGUUUGCCAUGGUCGGGCAUGUUAGAGAGCCCUUCAAUAUGGUCAACUGAUUUUGAGUAGUGGUACCAAAACUAGUCAGGAGGGAAAGGAGAUGUCUUUUGAACAGAUGGUGAUGGGAAACACUCAAAAGGGGGAAGUAGAAUCUUCACCUGGCCCCCAAAAUUGACUCGAGAGAAUCCAGGACUUAAUAAAAACACCCAGUGUUGAGAAGGAAGUGUGGAACAAAAGCUCAUGCUGUUGGAUUGGACGGGGACAAACCAUCCAGCAGCGAGAGAAAACCAAAGCGGACUUCACGGACGUUAAAAAGCCCUGUGCAUCAAAAGAUGCCAUCAGUAGCGACGUUGAGCAGAACACACUGACAAGUCACCUAUCUGACACCAGAAUACAGAGAAUGCUUGAAAGCCAGUAAAACAGGCCAGUUAGAUAAGGGCGUGAAAGGCUGGUUCUCCAAAGAGCACAGAUGAGCGAUGCAUGCAAAGAUGUCCAACACUCCUGGCUGUUAAAGAGGCAGGAACAAAACCCAAGGAGAUGCCACGUCUUACCCACUAGGAAGUCUCCUGUUCAAAACAGAAGUAAAUGACAUUGAGAGAGAGGAGAAGCUGGACCCCAUGUGCCCUGCAAUGGGGAUAGAAGAUGCUGCAGUCUCUGUGGACACGCUGGGAAUACUUCUAUGACAAGAUGUUUCCUGAAUCCACAAUGUGGUUACUCUGAGAUGCAAGCAGUGUUGGAAUGUCUUCUAUGUUAUGAGCUUUUAAGACAUCAGCACGAGUCUCCUGCCUCCUCUGAAGGUGAGCAGUGGAGGCUGUUUUUAUUGACAGGACUAUCUAUGAACCAUUAUUGAAAUAUCCGGCAUGUUCAAAUUCAUAGCCACAAGCACCAAACGUGGCUCACCGAUUUCAAACUCAAGUUCUCCACACACUGGUGGCUCGGUGGCUUCCUUCCCCCAUCACUGUGGUCAGAGGCGUCAUUUCUAAGGCCACUCACAUGCUUUUUAUAACAAAGCAGAAGUGUGUGAAGAAACCAGCAGCUUUCUCCUGCAUCCUCUAAGAACCAUUGUUUGGAGCCUGGCAUGGCACCUUCCAGUCUUCUUCCUUGUCUGUCUGUCUGUCUGUCUGAAAGCCUAUACUCAUACAUCUUAAAUGAAGUUAAUUUGUUUUUUUCACUUCAUUAAGAUUAAAUGUAUACAUGAGUUACUAUUUUAAAUCAAGAGAAAUAAAUACAAAUAGAUAGUGAAGUAGCCAUGUUUCUCUACUUAUGUAUUGCUCUGCUAAAGUAGCAGUAUUUUUAAUAUCAUAUUCACCUCCAUUCAUUCCCCCUUAAUUCCUUCCCUCUACAAUUUGGGGUGCCCAUACAGACUCAUGGGUGUUGCACUGUCCAUGAAGCAUGGUUAACAUAUCCAACAGCACAACCCAGAAGAAAAUGGACUCUUCUUCUCCCAGAAGCUAUUGACCAUCAGUAGCUCUUUCCCUGGGCUAGGGGCUCUUGGGCCCCUCUACAGUCUAUGCUGCGAUGCUAAGAUCUUGUGCAGGUCUUGCGUGGGCAACCACAGCUGCUGUGAGUUCAUGAGUGUGGGGACACCAUCCUGUUCAGAAGGCAUCCUUUGUGCCCCAGCCGUCCCCUGACCUCUGGGGACAAACGUGUGCGCAUAUAGAGAUCUGAGGUCAGUCUCUAAUGUCGUUCUUCCUGUCACAUCUACUUCAGUUUUCACUGUGUUCUAUCUUGUGAGACGAGGCCUCUUCCCUGGCUGAAACUCAUCGAUCAGGCUAGGCUGGCUGGGCAGCACACCUCAGGGACCCAUCUGGACAGGCUUUCUUGUUCAUACAUUGGCUCCCAAUGAAACGAAAGCUCACGAUGAUUUUCUGAACUGUAGAAUGCUGUCCCCAUCUAGUAAGCACAUUCCCUCCUCUUUCCUAUGCUCUAAAGACUGCGUGUAGACUAUUGAACAGUUGAGAUCAAAUAAAGCAUAUUGUUUGGCUGGGUUGUACUGUGUCUUCCCAUGGGUGCUUCUGUUUUCCCUUAGGGCCCUCUCUCGCCAUCCCUUUCCCCUACUCACAAAAGCCCCAAGUUAAUAAUCCACACAUCCCUUCCACUUUUCCCACAUCCAGAUAAGUCAUGUAGAAAUAUGUAAGGAUGCGUUCAUAUUUGUUUUCAUCUGCUUUUCAGAAAUGAGAUGUAUCAUUCAGGCUCUUUACAGACAGCUUUCCUCACAGAAAUUUUCCAUGCCAACCACUGUGGCUCCUGCUUAUUCAAGUAGCUACACAGCAUAAUACAGCCACGCCAAAAGUUGAUUACAAUAACUCCCAAACAGUGUCUUUGAUGAAAUGGAGCCAAUAAAAAGAAAUGAUAUGGACUAAAUAA